AUCGGCACCUUACGAGAAAUCAAAGUUUUUGGGUUCUGGCGGGAGUAUGUUCGCAAGGCUGAUACUUAAUGAAAUUGUCGGAAGGGCACCACCUGGAGUGGAGCGUGCGGAUUAAUUUGAUUCAACGCGGGGAAACUCACCAGGUCCAGACAUAGGAAGGAUUGACAGAUUGAUAGCUCUUUCUAGAUUCUAUGGGCGGUGGUGCAUGGCCGUUCUUAGUUGGUGGAGUGAUUUGUCUGGUUAAUUCCGAUAACGAACGAGACCUUAACCUGUUAAAUAGCCCCAUCGACUAUGGUUGGUGGCUGGCUUCUUAGAGGGACUAUUGGUUUCCAGCCAAUGGAAGUUUGAGGCAAUAACAGGUCUGUGAUGCCCUUAGAUGUUUUGGGCCGCACGCGCGCUACACUGUCGGAGCCAAAGAGUACUUUCCUUGUCGGGAAGGACUGGGUAAUCUUGUGAAACUUCGUCGUGCUGGGGAUAGAGCAUUGCAAUUAUUGCUCUUCAACGAGGAAUUCGUAGUAAGCGUGAGUCAUCAGCUCGCGUUGAUUACGUCCCUGCCCUUUGUACACACCGCCCGUCGCUACUACCGAUUGAAUGGCUUAGUGAGCCUUUGGGAUUGGCAGCUUGUACCGGCAACGGUAGCAGGCCGCUGAAAAUUUAGGCAAACUUGGUCAUUUAGAGGAAGUAAAAGUCGUAACAA
rnacentral:rRNA from 1 species